rnacentral:rRNA from 1 species
GAUGAACGCUGGUGGCGUGCCUAAUACAUGCAAGUCGAGCGAACAGACGAGGAGCUUGCUCCUCUGACGUUAGCGGCGGACGGGUGAGUAACACGUGGAUAACCUACCUAUAAGACUGGGAUAACUUCGGGAAACCGGAGCUAAUACCGGAUAAUAUAUUGAACCGCAUGGUUCAAUAGUGAAAGACGGUUUUGCUGUCACUUAUAGAUGGAUCCGCGCCGCAUUAGCUAGUUGGUAAGGUAACAGCUUACCAAGGCAACGAUGCGUAGCCGACCUGAGAGGGUGAUCGGCCACACUGGAACUGAGACACGGUCCAGACUCCUACGGGAGGCAGCAGUAGGGAAUCUUCCGCAAUGGGCGAAAGCCUGACGGAGCAACGCCGCGUGAGUGAUGAAGGUCUUCGGAUCGUAAAACUCUGUUAUUAGGGAAGAACAAAUGUGUAAGUAACUAUGCACGUCUUGACGGUACCUAAUCAGAAAGCCACGGCUAACUACGUG